CGCACCUUGCAUCCCUCCAGGCAAAAAGUGAUAUAGAAUCUCAGAUUGUAUCUGCCAUCUGCCUCAUCCUAAACCAGAAAAAUGAAAAGAGGUUUCAGGAACAAAUAUACUGUCUCCCCCCCGAUAUUGUGAGCAUGGCACUUUCGGAUCACCCAAGGGGGGAAUUCAUAUCCCCGAAAACGGAAAAGGAAUUCAGGGUGGAAGCCUACCCGAGUUUCAUUCACUUCAUAGAUAGAAAAAAAUUAAGUUCGCAUCCAUAUAUUUUUGCUCCUGUUUGCCACUCGGGACAUUGGUGGUUAUGGCUGAUA